rnacentral:rRNA from 1 species
UACGUAGGUGGCAAGCGUUGUCCGGAUUUACUGGGCGUAAAGAGCGCGCAGGCGGUCGUUCAAGUCGCGUGUGAAAGCCCCCCGGCUCAACUGGGGAGGGUCACGCGAUACUGAUCGACUCGAAGGCAGGAGAGGGAAGUGGAAUUCCCGGUGUAGUGGUGAAAUGCGUAGAUAUCGGGAGGAACACCAGUGGCGAAGGCGACUUCCUGGCCUGUUCUUGACGCUGAGGCGCGAAAAGCUAGGGGAGCAAACGGGG